UCUGAGGCUCUCCAGCCCCCGAGUUGUAAUUUGAAGAUGGUGUUCUGGUGCCGGCGCCCUGUCUACGUUCCUUGGAACAGGACAUCGCAGAGGGUGAGAAUCCCGUGUGGCGGGGCGGCCUGGCUCCGUGUAGAGCGCCAUCGACGAGUCGAGUUGUUUGGGAAUGCAGCUCUAAGUGGGUGGUAAAUUCCAUCUAAAGCUAAAUAUUGGCGAGAGACCGAUAGCGAACAAGUACAGUGAUGGAAAGAUGAAAAGAACUUUGAAAAGAGAGUGAAAAAGUACGUGAAAUUGUUGAAAGGGAAGGGUAUUGGAUCAGACUUGGUGCUGUGCGAAUAGCGGCUCUUCCUGGGCCGCCCCACUCGCACUCCACCGGGCCAGCAUCGGUUUGGGCGGCAAGACAAUGGCGGGGGAACGUGGCACUGCUCUCGGGCAGUGUGUUUAUAGCCCUCGCUGAUGUUGCCUGCCUAGACCGAGGACUGCGGCUUCUGCCUAGGAUGCUGGCGUAAUGAUCCAACACCGCCCGUCUUG
rnacentral:rRNA from 1 species